rnacentral:lncRNA from 1 species
GCCUGAUCAUAUCUUGUUGGAUAGCUUGAUUCUACCAAACCCUCUACCGCUUAUCGAAAUCUCCUCACUGCUUCAUUGGUCAUAGAGGGCCUACCAUAUGUCUGCCCAUAUCUAGUGAUCUGUAGAGGACCUCCAAUUCGAUGGUGACUCAGAACUAGAGUGCUGGAUGGCAGACUGCCUAAGACUAUAGAGGCCAUCUCGGGGCCUCCAUGUGGCCACCUCUUCGAAGGUCCGACAGCCAGCCUCCUCAUCUUGGGGUGUCUCGAAUCGAUAGUACUCCUGUA